GGUAGCUUUUUGAAUAUCCCA
rnacentral:miRNA from 1 species